rnacentral:rRNA from 1 species
AACACAGGUGCUGCAUGGCUGUCGUCAGCUCGUGUCGUGAGAUGUUGGGUUAAGUCCCGCAACGAGCGCAACCCUUAUCAUUAGUUGCUACGCAAGGGCACUCUAAUGAGACUGCCGGUGACAAACCGGAGGAAGGUGGGGAUGACGUCAAGUCCUCAUGGCCCUUAUGGGUAGGGCUUCACACGUCAUACAAUGGUCGGUACAGAGGGUUGCCAAGCCGCGAGGUGGAGCCAAUCCCACAAAGCCGAUCGUAGUCCGGAUUGUUCUCUGCAACUCGAGAGCAUGAAGUCGGAAUCGCUAGUAAUCGCAGGUCAGCAUACUGCGGUGAAUACGUUCCCGGGUCUUGUACACACCGA